rnacentral:rRNA from 1 species
UACAGAGGGUGCGAGCGUUGUCCGGAAUCACUGGGCGUAAAGGGCGCGUAGGUGGCGAGAUAAGCGUGUGGUGAAAGCCCGGGGCUCAACCCCGUGUCUGCCAUGCGGACUGUCUUGCUCGAGCGUAGUAGAGGCAGGUGGAAUUCCGGGUGUAGCGGUGGAAUGCGUAGAGAUCCGGAAGAACACCGGUGGCGAAGGCGGCCUGCUGGGCAGUUGCUGACACUGAGGCGCGACAGCGUGGGGAGCAAACAGG